rnacentral:rRNA from 1 species
AAGUCGUAACAAGGUUUCCGUAGGUGAACCUGCGGAAGGAUCAUUACUGAAAGGGGACUCCGGUCCCCGGGACAAGCCCCCGUCGAGCCCUCUAGGCUCCCCGGGUGGUGACACCCCUCACCCUUUGUUUACCUUACCUCUGUUGCUUUGGCAAGGCUCCUACCUGGGUGGUUCCAGGCUUGGGCUCUGCCAGAGGGCCCCAACUCGUGGAUAGUUUUUGUUUGUCUGAGUACGAUAUAAUCGUUUACAACUUUUAACAAUGGAUCUCUUGGCUCUGGCAUCGAUGAAGAACGCAGCGAAACGCGAUAUGUAAUGUGAAUUGCAGACUUUAGUGAAUCAUCGAAUCUUUGAACGCACAUUGCGCCCCGUGGUAUUCCGCGGGGCAUACCUGUUCGAGCGUCAUUACAACCUCUCCAGCUCCGCUGGGUCUUGGGGCUUGCCUUCCCGGGCAUCCCUUAAAGCUAGAUGCGGCGCCGCGUGGCUCUAAGCGUAGUACUUUUCUCGCUUCUGGGUCCGCUGUGGUGUCUGCUACAUAAACCCCAACUUUCAUAUGGUUGACCUCGAAUCAGGUAGGGAUACCCGCUGAACUUAAGCAUAUCAAUAAGCGGAGGAAAAGAAACCAACAGGGAUUGCCCUAGUAACGGCGAGUGAAGCGGCAACAGCUCAAAUUUGAAAUCUGGCUCCUUUGGGGUCCGAGUUGUAAUUUGCAGAAGAUGCUUCUGGUGUGGCCCCGGUCUAAGUCCCUUGGCACAGGACGUCAUAGAGGGUGAGAACCCCGUAUGUGACCGGUGGCCUAUGCCUCUGUGAAGCUCUUUCAACGAGUCGAGUUGUUUGGGAAUGCAGCUCAAAUUGGGUGGUAUAUUCCAUCUAAAGCUAAAUAUUGGCCAGAGACCGAUAGCGCACAAGUAGAGUGAUCGAAAGAUGAAAAGCACUUUGAAAAGAGAGUUAAAUAGUACGUGAAAUUGUUAAAAGGGAAGCUCUUGCUACCAGACACGGGCGCCGUUGAUCAUCCUAGGUUCUCCUGGGUGCACUCGGCGGUGCUCGGGUCAGCAUCGGUUUUGGUGGUGGGACAAAGGCCUUGGGAAUGUAGCUCCCCUUCGGGGGAGUGUUAUAGCCCUCGGUGCAAUGCCACCUACCGGGACCGAGGACCGCGCUUCGGCGAGGAUGCUGGCAUAAUGGUCGUAAGCGGCC